GACUACCUACAUCAUGAGGUUGUUGCAGAGAUUCCUGCGUCAGUACGUGGAAAGUGCUCAGAGCAGAGAGUAGGUGCUCAGUAUGGACGGCUUUUCUUUAUUCGACUCGCGGAUCGAGAGCUGAAUCCAUGCGGAUGCAUUUGGCUGCAGGGAGGAGGAAAAUGGGCUACCAGUGGUUUAAACAUAAGGACGUUGUUUAUUUCACAAGCGGUCCAGAGGAGGUUGCUUCCUCUGGCUGGUUCAGGACUUGGUGACACAUCGUCAAGGACCGAGGCACCUUGACCCUGCUGUCCUCAUCAGAGUGGCUUUUCUCCUAAGGUUUGGGGCCUCAGGGUCCAAGAUGGUUGCUGUAACAGCAGCAUGGCCUCCUCAUACAACAAUUCCAAAACAGGAAAGAAAAGGUCACAGGGGGCUCCCCUCUGUGGCUUUCUCUUAUCAGAGACAGAAAACUUUCCCCAAAGCCCCUGGCAGGCAGACUUUCCCUUGCACCUCACAGGCCAGACUCGGUCACGUGGCCACCCUUAGAUAGUGGCUGAUCACAAGCAGGGUUGUCACCAUCAGCUUAGAACAGUCCUGCUCCAUCUCCUGGCAUCUGGCUGCCUGAACUACUUGGGGUUCUGUUGCCAAGAGAGAAAUGUCUGCCACAAGCACCUACUGUGUGCUGGGCCCUGGAUGAGGUGCCAGGCCUGCAGAAGUGAACAAGGCCAGCAGCAUUCAGGCCCUCGUGGAGCUGUUAUUCCAGCAGAGGGGACGGACAAUGAUGAAUUAAACAACGCAAGACCGCAAGUUCCUUCCGUCAUUCACUCAACGAGUGUUUAUUGAGGGCCUACUAUGCACCAGGCUGGGAUACAGCAAGGAACACAACAGGUGAGGUUCGUGCCCUCAGGGUGAUUCGAGUCCAGAGCAGGGGGAGAAGGACAUAAGCAAAUUAACAAAUAAUAAACAAAUAAACGAGAUCCUUCACCCUCUCCAGAGUUGGUUGGUGGCGCCGCCGGGGCUCUCCCUCGGUCACUGCCUCCUGCAGGUCUCAUGACUCAGGCAGGGAGCUCUGAGCACUGGUGUGAUCAAUGGGGACUCCCUGGGUCCAGGGCCUGGCUGCCUCCCAGCUAAUCCUGGCACGGAGCAACUCGCUGAACUGAACGUGACUAAGCAGUCGUGACGAGCCGGGGGAGAUUUCCUAUCACUGUUUCAGCCCACACCUCUCCUCCCUUCUGCCCCAUCACCGCCACCCACACCCUCCAGGAUCUCUAGCGGGGAGCCCUUUGGUCCCUGUAAAUCUCCAGGGCAGGGCCUAAAAUAGGCUGUAGCUGGGGAACAUUCACCAAAAGAACAGAGAGAAAGGAGAAAAAGAAACUUACAGUUCAGGGGGAAGAAAAGUAAUGAUAUGAAUAGGGAAAUUCUCUUCUACAGGACAAUUUUAGAGUUUCUGUUGCCAUGUACUUUGCAAAUAGUGGGAAAUACCAUUUCGUUUCUGUUGCAUAAGUUUCACAGUUGUGGGGAAGAAGUUAAUGCGGCUUGCAAACAUCAGAUGGGCAGUUCCUUAUUCCCUGACGAGACGCGCAGAUUCCGUAGGCAGCAUUUGAAGGCCCCCUUCCCAAGCUCUGCUUCGAAGGAAAAAUUAUUAAGAUAAAGCAAGGAAAAACAAGGGGUGAUUUUUUUCCAUCCCAAGUUGAACGAGCCAGGUGAGAAAUGAGUUGUGGGGCUGCCCAGGAUUAAUCAUUUCCCAAAUGCAAAUGAGUUCUCAGUAAGUCAGGCCGGCCACCCAAGGAGUCUAUUCCCCGUUUAGAGCACAAGAGCAGCUUCCUGAGAAGAGGAGAGACGCAUCUCCACCCUGGGCAUUGGACAGAACAGCUGGACAACCGAGCCGAUGCUGGACACGCGGGCGGGGAUGUCCCAGAGGGGUGCUGCUCUCCACCGUAUUGCUUUCCCAAUGAAGCGAAGACCUAAGAUGAGAAAACUGAGGCUUAGAAAGGAACCCGGAUUAAAGGAUUGGUUAGCAUGAAGAUAGCCGCUGUGACAAGACUCAAGUACUAAUGAAUUUUUUAAAAUAGAGCUUCUUUCUCGCUCAUGCUACAGUCCCGGCAUAGACAACCCAAGGCAGGUAGGGAGCCCUCAGAGUGUUGGGGCCCAGGCUCCUUCCCACUUGGGGCCCCACGAUCCUCAACACGCGGUGAUCACCGUGUGCUCCAAGAUGGCUGCUCUAGCGCCGCAUUCCAACCAGCAGAGAGAGAAAGCGGGAGGGAAGGGAAGGCCUGGUCCUCUGGAGAACCUAAACUAAAGUUUCACGCGUCAUUUCCACUCCCACCCGACAGACCAGAGCUUUGCCACCCAGGUGUGUCUGACCCUAACUCCGUGCCAGUGCAUUCUCAGGAGUUGCCGCUGGACUGUGAGAAUCCUGUUUCCUGCACCAGAGAACAGUGCCAGGCACACCUAAACAUGAGUUGAAUGAAUGAGUGGAUAUCUCCAAUACCUGUUUUGGACUCCAGGUUGGGAGAAACCUCGCCGUGAGUGCCUGGCUCUGUUCUAGGCACUGAGAACUGAGCAAAACAGAUAAGGGUCCUUGCCCUCCUAGAGCUGACAUUCUGGUGGCAGAAGAGACGGCCAAUAAAGACCCCAAUGAGUCGCACACCGUCUGCCAGACGGGGGUAAGGACUACGGAGAAAAACAGAGCAAGGAGGAUGACAGGGAGCACUGGGCCAGCGCAUCCCAGGGGGUGAGAGAGGGCCUCACUGAGGAGGUGACAUUUUAGCAAAGAACUGAAAGAGGUGAGGGGGCAGGCCCUGCGUGUGUGUUCCGGGCAGAGGGAACAGCAAGUGCAAGGGCUCUGAGGCAGGAACAGCCGGGAGUGGGGAAAGCGAGGGGGAAGACGAGAGUAGGAGAUGCAAUUAGAGGGGAGAGGGAGCCAGAUGUAUGGGCUGUGUAGGUGGCUGUGAGGACUUCAGCUUUUUCCCUGGGAGCAUGGGAGCCAUGGAAGGUUCUGAACAGAGGAGAGGGAUGGUCUGACAGGUUCUAACAGGAUCCCUUGACUGCUGUAUGGGAAGAGACUACAAGGGGGUGAGGUCAGAAGCAGAGAGACCUGUGAGGAGGAUACUGCAAUAGUCCAGGCCAGAGAUGUUGACGUCUUGCACCAGGGUGAUUCCGGGGGAGGGGAGAAAUGGUGUCUUCUGGAUGUAACCUAAAGAGAGGCCCUAUAGGAUUUGUUGAAGUGCUGGGAGUAAGAGAAAGAGUUAAACGUGACUCCAAGGGUUUUGGCCUGAGCCACUGAGAGGAUGGGGUGGGAAUUAACUGAUGGGGAAGAUUGGGGGGGCAGGUGUGGGGGAGAAGAUGGAGAACUGGUUUUGGCCAUGUUGAAUGUCAAAUUCAAGAGCUGGGUGGAGAUGCUGAGUGGGCAGGCAGAUCCCAUCCCAGUUUUAGGGGCGAGGUCAGCCCGGAGAUAAGAAUACAGGCAUCGUCAGGAUAUAAGUGAUGGCUAAAGCCACGGGAUUGGGUGAGGUCACCUAGAGAGGGCAUGUGGAUGGAGAAGGGGGCAAGGACAGACGCCUGGGACACACCAAUGUUCAGAGCUGGGGCAGCCAGUGAGCAAAUGCCAGAACAGAGGUCGGAGAGAGUCCAUUUUCAAGUUGUUGAGUCUCCUUGAGAAGACUGGACAAAGCAAUAGUGUCUCCCAUAACCUCGUUUCCUCUGGUGAAAUGGGGCAGAGGGCAAAGUUCCCGGUCUCAGCUCGGUCAUUUCCUUUGUGGCCCUGAGCCUCAGUUUCCCCAUCUGUUAAAUGGGGACGUUAAGAAUCCUGCUCUGCCAGCUCUCUGAGGGAAUGUGAGGACAUGAGAUCCUACAGACCCCAAAAUGCCUGAAAAAAUGAAGAACCCUGCACAACGAAAGGACUUUCUUCCCCUACUGCCCCGCUUUAGGUCCCCAGAAAUGUGAAAGUGAAGCAGAGAAAAAAGCUUACACAAAUUCAGAGAAAACAAAAGAGAAGUUGUAGCGGAGAAAGAACUACAUAUAGGGCCGGCCCCGUGGCUCAGCGGUUAAGUGCGCGCGCUCCGCUGCUGGUGGCCCGGGUUUGGAUCCCGGGCGCACACUGGCGCCCCGCUUCUCUGGCCAUGCUGAGGCCGCGUCCCACAUACAGCAACUAGAAGGAUGUGCGGCUAUGACAUACAACUAUCUACUGGGGCUUUGGGGAAAAAAAGGAGGAGGAUUGGCAAUAGAUGUUAGCUCAGAGCUGGUCUUCCUCAGCAAACAGAGGAGGAUUAGCACGGAUGUUAGCUCA